rnacentral:lncRNA from 1 species
GCUGGAGUGCAGUAGCGCAAUCUCAGCUCACUGCAACCUGCUCACUGCAACCUAUUUAGCUGGCAAAUAACAUCUGGAUCUAUCUGACACCAGAGCCUGAGCUUUUCCUUUGCUACACUGUCUUAUAACUUUGCCCAUAACUCCAAGUUCCCUGAAGGCCCCCCACUCCGCUAAUGCCCUCAUACUGCUGUGUAUUCAUAAAUCCUUGCUUCGAGCACCCUCCUUGCUUCAGUCUGCCUGGCAGAUACCUACCUAUCCUUUUGGUCUCAUCGCACACAUUAAUGAGGUAAAAUCCAAUCUAUGCCACUAUAUGAUUUGGGGCAAGUUACUUAACAUCUGAGACCUUCAAUUUCCACAUCUGUACAAUGAGAAUAAUUUCAAUCUCAUAGGGUUUGUUGUGGACAAUUGCCGUCUUUGCUGCCCAGAAUUUACUAUGCUUUGGCAACAUUGCCUUAAUUUUGCUUGGGGAGCCAGCCCUCCUCCACCUCUGCCCAUGUACUUCCGGUGACAGUGAUGGCCCUGGAGGGAGCACAGGGCCUGAGCUCAGACACUCAGCACUCUUCCUCCUCCUCACCAUGGUGUCUGACCCAUGGAUGAGCCACAGGAAAAGAAGCUCAAUUCCUAGGCUCUUGUUUUGAACUCUCACAAGGAGAGGUGAUUGUCUUUCCCCAGUUUUGUCUACCAUUCCGGUUCCAUCUGCAUUCCCGGAGGAGUCCUGUUGAGGGCAGAGUGACUGUGAGCAAAACAAGAAGAGCUGUGUCACCAAGUUCCAUAAAAUCUGGGAGCCCAAGCAGCAUAUUUGUGGGAUUUGUCUGACAGAACGCAAUGGAAACAGAGCGUGGCAUUCGCUCCAUCUCCCCCAGAAGGAAAAUUGUUUACUCUGGUAUCUUCCUAAGAAACUGUACACUUAAAUUGUUUUGUCUUCAAGGAGAUUCAUAGAAAGGACUCUAACAAGUUUCUGAUAACUUUAAGAUUAUACCAUUAAACUAGGUAAAGGAAGAUUUUCAUGAUUCACUGACUGAGGACAAUCAAAUUCUUCACCACGUAGAACCUAGACAUUGGGUCUUUGGAAAGGACAUCAGAGAAAGACUGCCAUUAAGCUCCAUUGGAAGAGACCAUAUCAAGUUCUUUUCUGCAGCAAACCAUCAGGCUCUCAAGUCUUGGAUCUAUGUCUCUCAACUCAAAAGAGCUCCUCCAGACUCCUGGAACUGUAUACCUAUUGGAGACUCUAAGGUAAAGCUCACCAGGGAAGAUUUCCCCCAGGAGCAGUUGGCAUCCUAGACUUCAACAGCUUUCGUAAGAUUGUGGAUCAAGACUUCUCUGCCAUCAUGAAAGUCUUAUCUUUUCCCUUUCUUCCCAAUUUCCUGCUGUCCCAGUCCCUUUCUUUUACUUAUAGGAAAAUCCAUGGGGCCAUAAUCUGUGGAUGGCUUUAGCUAAGUCUUAUGCUGUAGUGAAAAAACAGAGCAAUUGUUGGGUUUAUGAAGAUAAGCUAGUUUCUACUGAGGAAAGAUUCCAGUGGCAUUCCUGGGGGCUCAGUCUUGGUACUAGCAGGGUACUGGUAGUAUGGAAUUUGAAAGUAAUCCAUAAAAUGAGAAAAAUCUUGGGUUUGACCAACCAGUCCCCACAGAGGUUCAGGUGAGUAGAAGUCAUCUUUUGAAAACACUUAAUAAAACAUCAUGCAGUUUUGGAUCCUGUUUCCUUAGACACUGCCACCAAAUACAUAAAGGAAAUUUCUCAGAGGAAAGAAACAUAUGACAUGUUCAUAGGAGCAGCAAACCAUUGGUUUGCAGGUAGGCUUGGCUUUUCCAAGGUGUUCUAACCUUUAUGCUCUUCUAAUGGUUCUCCAGAUUACUAUGACUUGUGUUAACAAGAUAAUGACAACAUUGGAUACCUCUUUAAAUCAGCAAACUGCAGUUCUUAAUCAUUAUCACCUCCUGAACAAAAACCAUGACCAACGGUACUCAAAUGCUUUUGAGCUGCCUGUAAGGGAGGAGACCACCCCUCAUAUUGUCUUAUGCCCAAUUUCUGCCUCCAAAUAAAGAAGAAGUAAAAACUAAAAGGCAGAAACGAAAUCCACAAGCAGACAGCCCGGUGCCACACCCUGGGCCUGGUAGUUAAAGAUCGAUGCCUGACCUAAUCAGUUAUGUUAUCUAUAGAUUACAGAUAUCGUAUAGGAAAGCACUGUGAAAAUCCCUGUCCUGUUUUGUUCCGAUCUAAUUACCAGUGCAUGCAACCCCCAGUCAUGUACCCCUGGCUUGCUCAAUCGAUCACAACCCUCUCAAGUGGACCCCCUUAGAGUUGUGAGCCCUUAAAAGGGGCAGGAAUUGCUCACUCAGGGAGCUCAGCUCUUGAGACAGGAGUCUUGCCAAUGCUCCCGGCCGAAUAAACUGCUUCCUUCUUUAACUCGGUGUCUGAGGGGUUUUGUCUGCAUCUUGUCCUGCUACACCUAUAUUGCCUGAACUUUGAUUUGGGUCAAAUUGAUUUGGUUGGCAGAGGCUCCUGUUAGAGAGUACACCUCAGGCUUUUGGAAUUUUUGGUGUUGUCCUUCUGAUAGUCAUCAUAGUAGCUCCCCUGGUGUACCAUAUCCUCUCAAGUCUUAAAUAUUUGUAUGCAGCCAUCCACUGAGUGUUGAGUGGUCUCACUUUGACUUGAUCAUCAAGAACAUAAAGAAUUAUUCAACUGGUGUGAUGUCAUGACUUGUGAAUUUCAUGCUGAGACCAAAUAAGUUUGUUUAUGAUGGUGACAGAGAGUGGUAUCAAUGCCCCAGGUUUUGAGAGGUGGCAUUGUUAAACUAAAUUUGGGGGG